rnacentral:rRNA from 1 species
GGACUACACGGGUAUCUAAUCCUGUUUGAUCCCCACGCUUUCGUGCCUCAGUGUCAAUCACACUUUAGUGAGCUGCCUUCGCAAUCGGUGUUCUGUGACAUAUCUAUGCAUUUCACCGCUACUUGUCACAUUCCGCCCACUUCAACUGUAUUCAAGCCCAUCAGUAUCAAAGGCACUGCGAUAGUUGAGCUACCGUCUUUCACCCCUGACUUAAUAGGCCACCUACGCACCCUUUAAACCCAAUAAAUCCGGAUAACGCUUGGAUCCUCCGUAUUACCGCGGCUGCUGGCAC